CUAGCUGUAAACUUUGCCUGCUAGCGAUGGGGAGUUAAAUCUCCGUUGCGUAAGCUAACGCGUUAAGCGGGCCGCCUGGGGAGUACGAACGCAAGUUUAAAACUCAAAGGAAUUGACGGGAAGGCGCACAACCAGUGGAGCAUGUGGUUUAAUUCGAAACAAAACGAAGAACCUUACCCAGUCUUGACAUACUACCGUUUAUUUUUCUGGAAACAGAGAGAAAUCCUUUAGAAAUAUUGGAUGGUAGAACAGGUGC
rnacentral:rRNA from 1 species